UUUCUGGGCGUGUGUGUGUGUGUGUACGAGCAGAGGAGAAGAAAGGAAGGGGGAGCCCUUCUCAAACCCUAAGCAACGAAUUGGAAGGAUUCUGGCCGAAAUCGAACCUGCAUGAACCUUAAUAGUGAUAAUCUAAGCAAGAUGUAACCAAGGAAACCAUGUUUAUGAGAACGUGUCAAGGAGAGCUCAAGCAUAGGAGGAUAACGGGUCAAGAUAAGGCAAGGUGACAAAUACACUUAUUGGAGUACUCAAGGUAAUGCAGGAAUGAGAACGACGGAUUCUCGUGGAAUGGAAGCUGAACUCGGAACGAGAGAAUCCAAGAGGAUAGUCGGAUAAAUCAAAGUUUACUUUGUCGAAUUUUAUACUAUUUAAUUAUAUGUGAAUUUGUGAUGUGCGUGAAGUGUGUUAUAUUUUUAGAUAUAUAUUUAAGCCCUUUUUACACUUUUAGCCAAGUUUUAAAUUUAUAAAACACGAUAUUUACUAACACUAAACACACAUAUGGGCAAGUGCACCCAUCGUGGACGUAGUAUAGUGUUGGUAAGAUACCGAGGUCGUCCAAGGACACAAGAGCUUUUAAUACCGGUUUAUCCUCAACGUCUAAUCAAAUCAAAAAGUUAGAAAAAUGUUUUAAACUAAGAAAAAUAAAAACUAACUA
rnacentral:lncRNA from 1 species